rnacentral:lncRNA from 1 species
CUUAGAAUAGAUUAACAUGAUUGUAGGAAAUUAGCAUGAUUGUAGGAAAUCUCUUGUAUAAAGCUUCGUCUCCUGAUUCAAUAAAAUUAUUCAAGGCAAAUAUUAUUUUCUUUUUUUACACUGGGUGAUAAAGCCAAGAGAAAGAGAAAAAGAAAUGUUUCCAACCUUUAAGAGGAAAAAGUUUCAGAUUUGAGAAAUUUGAGAUGGUUCGGGUCAAGUGUUUUUUGUGUUUUAGAUUUGACAAGUUUCAAAUUCCUGGAGAAGAUAUAAAUAUGCAAAUUUGAAUUUUAAGGGUUUCUUUUAUGAGAUGAGAGCAAUUUUGGAAAAUUUUACAAGGUCUCUCUAAUUCGGCUGGGUAAGGAAGUGAAGAGAGUUGAGAGAAAAUGUUCCCAAAUGAAAGAGAUGGAAAGUUUUUGAUUUGGGAAAUUAGAGGUGUUGUCAGGAUGGGUGUUUUUGAGAACUUUUAAAUUCUAAUUUUUGUGUUUUGUUUAAUUUCAGAAGGUCUUGUUGACAUAGAAGCUGACUUGCUGCUAACAUGGAGACAUUGAGGGACAAUUUGGGAAGAGAAAAUGUAAACAUGACAUAGUGCACGAGAACGAUAAUAUUUUCUCCAAUAACAGGGAAAUCUCAUAUUUCAUAUACUUGGGGUUUGAAAAGCAUAUAAUUUUCAAAUCACAGACUGAAAACACAAGUUUCCCAUAAAUAUACUUAAAGCAUGUUUGAUAAUAAUUUUGAAAAAUAAUUUUCGACAAUAGUUAUUUAAAAUUGUUUUUUGUUGUUUAUAACAUAAAAAAAAUAUAUAUAUAAAAAAAACUUGUUUGACAACCUAAAAUAUUUUAAAAAUAAUAUUUAUAUUUAAUAUUUUAUUUUUAAUAAUUUUAUAUAUUUGGAUAAUUACUUUUAAAAAUAACUGUAAAAAAAAUAAGUGAAAACAAGUAAAGAUGUUAUCCGAAAAAAUUAUAUUUUUUAUUUUUAAAAACAUAUAACAUUUUUUCUUAUUCUCAAACAAGUUUUCCUGUUUUUUACGAAGAAAAAAUUAUUGUCAAACAAUCCCUUAGAUACUUGUGUUUUAUUAAGUGGUGAAAUAUCUUCAUAUGAAUUAUAUAGCAACUCAUAAGAGUAGCAGAAAAAGAGACAAUUUUAAAAGCGCAUAUGACAAGUGGAAAUUAUUAUAAAAAAAAAAAAGAGGCUAUUUUAAGAAUGGAUUUGAUGUGUCACAAAGACCACUAAAAUUUGGUGUGAAUAUAUUUAAAUAUAUAUAUAUAUAAGUUUUAAAUUUUGUUGAUUAGCAUAUCUAUAAAAAAAUUUAUUUAUAAAAUUUAAUUUUUAGAGAAAUUUUAGAUAAAAAGAUUUUAUAUCUAUUCAAUCAAAAAUUGAAACAGUAAAUGUAUUUACUCUAAGCUAUGGUGUGUGAAUUAAACCAACCUUCAAAUAAAAAUAGAAAAAAAAAAGUGAAUCAUAAUAAAAAGGAAAGUAGUCAAAAUCAAAAGGAGAAUCAAAUUUGAUUUCCAUAUUAGUGAUUUUUUUAAAAAAAUUCUAUUAUCAUUGUAAAAAAUAAUUCAAAUACAUUAAUAAAUUGAAAAUAAACUUAACUCUUAUUCUCAUUUUUUAUUCCAAUGUUUCAAAUAUAACGUCCAUUUAUUGAUUAGUGUUGCCAAAUCCGAACAAUUGCAUAGCAAUACAAAGAAAUAGAAUUGAGCAUAUAAAACACAAAUUUCUCAAUAAAUAAAACCAUAGCGAAAGUGCAAGUAUAUAAAUAACAUCAAUUUUAUCAUACAAUCUUAGCCAACACUUUUUUUUUUUAUAGUAUCAAAAAGCUACUGAAAAAAAUAUUUCUUAUCACCAAGAAAUUACUUUUUUUAAAUGAAAAAAUUAUUUUCAUUGAAUGAAUACAUAAGUCGUAUUUGGAAUAACUUCUUGUUCUUAAUUUUAAUUAAAAGCUAAAAGUCACAAAUUUUUAAAAAUAAUAUUGAUAUUAUAAAAAAUGUAUUAAACAUAAAAAAAAAACUUUUUAAAUAAGUCAAAAUAAAUCUUUAAAAAAACAUUUUCUUGAUUUUCAUAUUAUGUUAUUUCUUAAGUUAUAAAUUAUUUAAAUAAAAUGAGCGGCAUAAAAAUUUUUAUUGAGCUUUAAAAAUGGUUUUUGACUACUCAAAUCUACCCAAUCGGAACCAUAGUGCCCGAUAACUUGGGGCUAGAAAAAUUGGCAAAAGGAAUUAGGUUAAAGUUCAGUACAUGCUACAUGCAUCUUGUUAAAGGCCAUAAAAGCAAUUCCAUAAUAUAUCACAUUUGGAGUUUUGGAUUUGGGUUUUUGAUCUAAAAUGAGAGAAAUUUUGGGUUGUCGAAAUUGAAAGAUGAGAGAAAGCUUUCAAAUGAGUAAAUUGAAAACUUGCAGAUUGUGUGUGUUUGUGUUUUUUUUUAGAAGUUAUAGACUAAGAUUUUAGUAUUUUUUUUUUCUUAAUUUCAGUGGUUCUGUUGAUAUGGAGGUUGGAAUGAUGCUGAGCUGGAGACACGGAUGGACAAUUUAGGCAUAGAAGAUGGAGCCGGCUCAGAGGGCACAAAAACAAUAAUACUUUUCAUAUUAAAAAUUGAUUUUCAUAUUAAAUUUUAUACAUCUAUUUUAAAACAAUUAAAAUUUUCUACAAUAUUCAAUUAUAAUAUAAGUACUGCCUCUCACGGGUCGAUACUAAUGACGAGUGCAUGAAAUUAUUAUAAAUAUCUCAUGGAAUAAAGAAGAGGAGAGAGAGAGAGAGAGAGAGAGAGAGAGAGGGAGAAGAAGAAGACAACCAAAAAAGAAAAAGAAGACAGCAUUGUAAACAUAGAAAAUGGAAAGUAUUGGAAAUAUUUCAUGAAAUCGGAGUAAACAACAAAACAAAAUAAAGUACUUUUCAUUCCUGUUUCCUACUUCUGUCAUAAAGUAUAAAGUAUGGAUAGAGAUGAGACGAAGGAGGAGAAGGAGGAGCACUCAGCUUUCACCGGUACUGCAGUGUGUUGUGGUGGUGUAGCAUAUGGUAGGAUGUCAUUCUUGCUCCAAAAGUGUGGGCAGAUCCAUUUUUAUUUUCCUUUUUUCAUCUCUGUCCUCACUGAUUCGUUUUGGGUUUCCAUCAAUAUUUAUCAGUGGGCUUGGUGUUAGUCAAAAGCCACCAAUUUUUCUUUCCUUUUUUUUCCCAUAUAUUAGAAUGAAAUGUUGUUGUCCAUUUUAGGGGAAGGCGUUAUGCUGAACUGAACUGUGCGAGGGGAAUGAAAAUUAAUUUAGGGGUUUUCUUCCUCCUCUAUUUUUGGCUCUCUUUCAUGAGGGUACAGAUUGUCUUUUUUUCUCUCGGAGUGUUUGGAUUGUUUCAUUCCAUUUAACUAUUUUUGCAGCAUAUUCCGAGUGUUAUAGGUAUUGGGUAAUCAGUAAUACAGAAAAUGUAAUAUAAUUUUGUACUAUGUAUUUUUGGACUUGGGGUAGGAUGAGUUUAAUUUAUGUAGAUUCAUGUCACUAUUCUCAGCCUUCAAUGCAUUGAUUUCUCCAUAUUUUGAUAUAUAUAUAUACAAACUGCAAUGGGAAUAAAAAGGAUGGUUGUUUCUUCAAGAAUUCUGAGAAAAAAAAAGGGGGUAGGGGGGCAAGAGAGGUUUGAGGAGGCCAUUGGGACUUUUAUCAGUUCUGUGUCUUUUGUUUUCAAGUUGUAAGAAGUCCCUGUUAUGCCAUUUUCUAUGUUGUUUGUGUCCAAUUUUCAGUUGAAAGAGUGGUAGAUUAGAGAAGGAGGAAUGGCUCAGACAUCUGGAUGCAGCUCUGGAGAUGGUAGAUGGUCUCUCAAGGGAAUGACUGCUCUCAUAACUGGUGGAACUAAAGGAAUUGGGUUUGUGAUGUUACCUGUAUUCUGUCUUUGGUUUGGACUACACCUUCCUUCCCAUAUAUAAAUGUAUGUAUCAAUUAUGCAGGCAUGCAAUUGUGGAAGAACUGGCUGGACUAGGAGCAACCAUACACACAUGUUCUAGAAAAGAAACCGAGCUCAAUGAAUGCUUGAAGGAUUGGAAAGCUAAAGGUUUUGGAGUGAGUGGUUCAGUGUGUGAUGUAUCCUCUCGGGCCCAAAGGGAGAAGCUAAUGCAGACUACCUCUUCUGUGUUCAAUGGGAAGUUGAAUAUCCUUGUAAGUUCCCCUAGCCUGUAAAGUUCCAACCUGUGAUCUUACACAUAAUUUGUUGAACUUAUUACAAUUGAGUUCCCCUGCUUGAAUUUUUGUUGGAUUCAAAUCAACAAUGCUGCUAUAAGUAUUCAGAAACCAACAGUAGAGGUCACAGCUGAAGAGUUCUCAACAAUCAUGGCCACAAAUUUUGAAUCUGUGUAUCAUCUGUCCCAAAUCGCACACCCC